UAUGAGAUUACCUCACAUUGCUUCUAGUAGUUAUUAUCUUGAAACAAAUUAUUUCGAGGCAAAACCCCAACUUCCUUCAAACACGUAUCCAGAAGCAUGUUCUUUUUUAUUGUACUGGCAGAUUGUCAAAAUAUUUUGGCCGAUACACAGCGAACAGUCUUUCAAAUUAUCACUUGCAAGCUUGGCCAUCCAGGCGUUCUUGCUGAGAGUCAGACUGUGAGGUUGUAAAGGACAUAAUGUAACUUUGUCUAAUACUUGCUCACAGUCUGACAGUGUUUGCUGCAUCCUCACUCAUUCUCUUCAUUUAAGAUGAAUCAAAAGAGUUUUCUGUAUGAGAACAAGUGUAAUGUGAGUGAGAUCCUUAAGUCUUCAUUGUUGUUUUGUUGAUCUUCCUCUUUUUAUAACCCCAGAAAGAAAUUAUGUUACUGUGAUUGUGGCCUUACUUUUAACAACUUUCAUCUCCCCCACUUUCAGCCAGUUAACAAUUCCCUGAGCAUCCUUAUCAGCUAUGGACAGCAACUACUGCACUGUGCAGGGUUGCUUAGGAACAAAAUUGAUGCUCUUUGGCAUGGUGGAUUACAGCUGCAACUCUCAGGUCCCCAAACACCUCUGCUCCCCUCAGUGGAAUGAAAAGAUUUAAGAUGCUUUCCAAAUCUGUCUUUGAAGAGAAUAUAUACAUUUUCGGUUUCUAUUAUCUACUCUCUUCAAUGCUGGCAAAUAGCAGGUUCAGUGUUGUGACCUUUCUACUGAAAGCAGCGUAGUAUUGAAAAAUCUUAUUUAGUAACAGCUCCUUUAACAAGUCCUUUAACAAGAACAUAAUUUAAAUACCAAGGUAUCUUGUAUACCUUAAAUAAUUGAGAACGUUUAGCUUUUCUAAGCUUUUUGUUCGUUUGUUUGUUUGACUUUGGUUAUUGAUGUACUUGUUUAUAUAAUUUGAUCAAAUUAAUGGUGAGAAUUUGGGACAGGCAAAACUAGACCUACAGAGGGUGUAGACAUUCUCAUACACUUACUGAGAGCUAGAAAAAGGUACACCUAUUUCUUGUGUUUAUUUGUUACAAGUAUUGAUCUAAAACAUUAAAUUGAAUAUUUCCACCAUAAACUCUGCAGCAACAGAGAAUUUAGUUGGUAUCAAUAGCAGUAUUAUUUUUUUCUUCUUCUUCUUCUUUUUUUUUUUUUUUUUCCAUCAGUUAGAAAAUGUCAAAGAGUACACAUUGAAGCUUCCCUGCAGACAGAUAAUUUAUAGUAAUUCCUCAGACUGGCUUAAUGAUUUGAUGAGCUUGGUAUUUAUUUUUCAAGUGAGAGGGAAGCUAAAGUUUUUCUCUAAUUUGCUUGUAAAUGCACUAAUCAGCUUGUAGGGUGUUAAUAUGUGUCAAAAGGUGCUGAGGUUUGGAGAAGAAAGAUGUGUAAUCUAUGGUAUGUAUUGUACACUUGUGGACCAUGUGCUACUUCUGGCACCUUCACCCCAAGUGAGUCAGAUCACUGAGGAAAUGGUAGCUGCUGAAAGACUGCCCCCCAACAGCACUGUUGUCAUUAUCAUUCAUUUAACCUACAGUUUCUUUCCUUGAAGGCCCAAACUUUUGAAAUGUCACGUGUUAAAUCAUUCAUGGGUGAUGAUCGUAACUAGAAAGUGAUGCAAACUACAUUUCUGAAUGAAAAACCUAGAGACUAAUUCAUGGUCAAUUAUUAAAAUGCCUCCAAACAAAAGCACAUGUCUCACAAUGAGUUGCUGCCAGGCACAUUCCUAUAUGCCAUUAUUGUAGUGUCUUCCAGGAAGAGUCAGAUAUGAACACCGCAGUUUGCAUUGCUGAUGUGUAGCUCUGUAGCAGACCAAAAAUCUUAGAGACACACUAAGCUAAGUUUCACCAGGGACACUCUUCUCAUUGCAGUACUCAUUUCCAUAUUUAAUUCAAUUUUAAAAGUUACCAUUUUCUUUUACUUAGAGCUACCUCCAGACUGAAGCACUGCAGACGCUUGAGGGCAAUGAGAGAGGAUUAUGGUUAAGACUUCCUCAGAUUUAUAUCUUUCUCAUUUGCCUUCUGAUCUUUGUUCCUUUCUGUGUAAAUCAUAUGAAUCUCUCUGGUGAGAAAAUUCUGUAAUUUAAUAGGAAAGACCAUUAUUCACAAUGAUUUGGUUUAACUCAUUUAGUUCUUCUAUAUGGUCUGCUCUUUCAGAGCAGCAAAUCUCAAAUUUGCCAGCUAGUACAGUUCUAUACUACUGUGAAUUAACCACAUUUCCUUCAGUAUAUUUGUCUUUUGUGUAAGUUUCAUGAAAUUAUUUUGCUUUAUGCAUUAACUGGCAUAUUAAACUUUUUUUUUUUUUAAUGAAAACAGAUGAAUAAACUGGAGAGUAAAUAAUAUUCCCCUCAACUGAGCAGCUUUAUCAUAAAAUUCUGGACAAGUUCUAAAGAAAGAGUGCUAUCUUGCACCUCUACAGAAAGUUUGCUUCUCUUUUGAGGUGAAACAGUGGUUAUUUCUUGGUUUGGGGAUAAUAAUUUUAAUUUAACUAUAUAUGAGUAUGUGUGUAUAUAGAUGUAUAGCACUCCUCCCAUUUGCUGUUCCAGUAAAUGCUUUUUAUAAGUUUGAGGGCUGAUGAUGUUGAUAGGAGAGAAUGCAUCCUUUCUUAAUCUUCUUGCCCUACUCUAAGCUGUCCUUCAAAUAAGUCCUUCUAUGAAGAUAUAUUUAUUUAUGUACACUCUUCUGAGACUGAAAAUAUUUUUAAUCUGCCAACCAUUUUUCCACUGCCUUAAGAAACAAAUUGAGAGCAUGGACUCAUGGAACAUGUCUGCAGAGAAACUAAUUAGCUAACUAGUUUGUUAGAAAUUAAGAAAUAGAAAAUUUCCAUUUUAAUAAUCAAAUAGAAGAAAUAGAAAUCUGAACUACUUGUUCUUCACAGGACGAGCCUGGUAGUGACUAUUGUUCUGCACUGUGGUGUGGUGUGAGGUGAGAGAGUGAUAGUGCAGGCUUCUUUCUGGCUCUCAAAGAGAAAGGGUGACAAAUGGUGUAAUGAAAUAGCAUUUUUAAUAAGGUAGAGAAGCUCUGAAAUUUACUUCCCUUCAGAUCUUGGGAACUGCAGGAUUAGAUGGACCCCAGAUGGAUUUUCCCAUGGCAUGCUGCACAGACUGUCUGUAAGAGAAGAUUGUCCUUUCUGGUUCUUUGAGCUUCUAUACUUUUGUUUUGUUUUGUUUUGUUUUACAAGAAACCAACCCUAUUCAUAAAAUAUUCUCUCAUAAUCUUUCUGUGCUUUUAGACAAAAUCACGCAGGUAAUAUAAUCACUGGUACUGAGUGGGAGCUGCAGGCGGGCUCCUCUGACACAAAGAGCUGCUCAGGUUCAUCCACAGAGGAGGUAUUUGCACAGCACAGCCUGAAGCAGCGCUGGACAGGCAGCACAGGGCUACACCUGAGGGCCACUGGUACAUGAGCACUAGCUCCUCUCUGUGCAGUGUUUCCCCAGGCAUGUUCACCACAACAGGACUGUAGUGCCAGGAAUUAGGACAAUGUAACUGCUAUCAAGUUUUUUUUUUUCUAUAAUGUAAAAAUUUGAUAACUUCCUAAUCUAUUAAUUUCCUGUUUCCAAAAGUCUAUGAAUGAAAACCACUUACUCUUUAUUAUUUUUUUGUUGAAACGUAGUUCAAACAUCUGAAAUGAAAUGAAACAUUUUGAUCGCUUGAUCUGAAUUGUUUUUGAGAUUUCAUUUCAAAGCAGUUUUGACUUUUCAUCCUUAUGUGUAAUGGAGGAUAUACGCUGUGAGGGAACCAUUUCAUCUUGUGAUGAAAGGCCUCAUUCCAGCCAUAGUUGUUUUGUUCUUUUUCACUGAGAAAAACAAUUAGAAAAAUUAAUGGCAAAAUAGCCAUUAUUGUGUACCAAGCACAAAAGAUAAAAUAUCUGCCUUGAGAAGUCCUUAAGCUGUAGAGUGUUGAAAGCUGAGGAGGUCUAAUAGGUGAUGUAUCGCCAUAUUCUUGCAUUUUUUUUUUCAUGUUUUACCCUUGCCAUUUACUUCUGGACACUGACUGAGGGAGAGCACUGAACUAAAAUGGAUCCUUCAGCUGACCCUGAGUGACCACUCAUGUCCUGAGUUAAUGGAAAUGACAUAGCUGUGGCUUGGUUCAGGCUUAGAUUAAAGAAUUAAACUGUUUUAUACUUUUUCUUCCCAAAUUCCUUUUACAGCACCAUGGGCAUUGGUAAAAGAUUUUCUUACAGUAGCAAGGGUCAGAGGGUCAAAGAAUAGAACAGAGCUUGAAAACUGCAAACAAGAAAAGAGCUGCUUUAAACUCAGUUAUUUCUUACAUUGCUGUUUUGUUUAUCUAUUUAUAUGAUCAAACGUCAUAAACCACAAGGUGCUAAGAACUUAUGUCAGCUUCAAAACACUUAAUAAGCAUUUCAAUGGAAGAUGCAUAAAUGCUACAGCACCUGUGAAUGCUGAAUACCCCAUGGGAUUUAGUGCUAUUCACUUGAUCCAAAGCCAGUGUUAAUCAAAGGCUCGGAUUUGACGUGAGAGAACUUUUCAUCAGUUUUGUGUAUGAACACCUCUAGCAAUAUAUUACCCAGGACAACAGGAUUUAAAACAAACUUAACAGAGAAUGCUGCAAUACGCAUACUGCUGUCAGCAACUUACAGCUACUGAUAUGUUGAGAUAUGGUGGAAAAAGCAAAAAAAAAAAAAAAAAAAAAAAAAAAAAGAGUUUUAUUUAUUGAAACACAGUUUCAUCAGUGAAAUAGUAAGGUGAGUGACUGCAACUUCUGAUGUAACUGGUUCAUUCUAUCUAUGGAUUAUCAAGAGAAAACUCCUUAUGGAAAGCAAAUAAUAUAGCACUUCCUCAUGUACAGAGAUUGAGUCACAUGUGAGAUCUUUUCCAAACUAUUAAAAAAAAAAAAAAAAGAUUGAUCAUUAUCAACACUGAGCUAGAGAAUUUGCUUAGAAUUUUUUACAGAUAAAAAGCAAAAAAGUUGUCUUUUUUUUUUUCCUUUAGCUUAAAAGUCUUAACUCACAGAAACUUUCAGGCAACCUUGAAAAGAUGUUACACAUCAGAGAACAUGACAGCCAGAGCUGAUGUAACUAAUUUGGGGCUGGUAUAACAAUGCUAUUUAGAGCAAUAAAUGAUUUGUCUGUUGGCUGAUCUGUUUACUAAAAUAGUUGGUGAAAAAUGUGGCAUAUAUUAUAUCUCUUCAUUAUCCUGCUAGUAUAAAGGACUUAUAAACUGACAAUUCUGCCUAUAGUUUUAGAUUGCGUUCCUUAACUAUAUUAGGAUAAGGUCAUCUGUGUUAUAAAUGGAUAUGAAGAAGAAAUAUACAGUUCUCUAUCAAUAAUCUGUCUAACAACCUGAUAAAAUGAAUGACUAAGACCCAUAUAUAACAAGGACACAAUGAUUGUCCUAUGCACUCCUCUGCUUGGUUGCUUUUCCACAUUAAAAUCCACCACUCCCAGUGAGAAGGUCUACACUUCGUUAGGCUCCUCCCAUACUGAUGACCAUUAGCUUAAUUAUUUUUUUAUAGAAAAACAAAUAAAUUUACAUUUAAAUUUCUUUUCAGGAAUGACCACAUUCUGAGAGUCCUAGAAGAAGGACAGAGAGAUUAGAUAUUAUUCUCAGGUUUUAAUCCUUUGCACAGCAUGUUACAGCUUUGUUGACAUGGAUAUACUACACGAGUGACUUUAUGCAUAUUCACAAAUGUUUCUUGUAAGGAAAUAGCUUGGAAAACAAUAAUCAUGUAACAUGUGUAAUGUAGUUUUGUGGAUAAAUAAAACUUUAUCCUCAUUGCCUUAGAUAGGAUGUUGACUUAAAAAUAAUAAUAAUAAUAAUAAUUCUGGUGGCAUUUACUCUUACAGAAACUUGCCCGUCAUUUUAUAUCUGUUUUCUUUUCUCUCUGAGAAAUUUAUUUUUCCUUAUUUCAUUUAUAAUUUUUUCUGUUUUUUCUCUGUUCCUCUUGAAUCAUACACUUGAAGAAAAAAGGGGAAGAAUUAAGAGAUAUCUAGGUUUGACCCUAGGUGAGAUGAUCAAAUACAUAUGUCCACUUUCUGAAAUUCCCUACAUUAUGCAGUUUCUCAUGUCAUGCAAGUCUAAAAAUGUACUUGUGCUUAAGGAAUACUUGUGCUUGGAAAAUUCUUGAAAGGAAAAAUCAUUUAUGCUUGCAAGUACAUAGGAAAGUUAUCUGCUUCAUAAAGUCCCUGAACUGAAAAUAAAUGGAACCUGAGACAGUAGUAAGGGAAAACAUCAAAUAUAUUUCCUUUAUUUUUCUCUGGUUUCUCUGCAUUCGGUAAUAGCUGCAGAUCCUGGCCUAGAUAUAUCUUUGUUCUGUCAUAUCUUGUGAAUUGUUCCAAAAUCCUUACAUCACUUUAAAACCAGUAGAGCAUGAGGUUGCUGUGUUUUGGGUGGAUGAAUCAAGCCCUGUGUGCUAUGGAAAUAGAGAUUCCAAAAUUCCAGAAUGUCCCCAGUGUUACUGCUUUUGAAUCAUCACGAGUUCACUGAACUAACAAAAGAUUAGGAAUUCAACAUGUCAGCAUCACACCACCUCAUCAUAAAUAGCAUAUCAAUGUAAAACUUUUGCUAGAAAACUUCCAAUUAUCAUUAUAAGUCUUAUUGCAUACUUAGUCUGAGGAAUAUUUUUUUCUGAAUGAAAAACAAAUGUGUGGUAUUUAUUCUUUAAUGCAAAAAGUUAAAAGCAAUAUUGGGCAGAAAAAAAAAUAGGUUGAUAUUACAAUGAUUCUAGAUUCUCCAAUGUUACAUUCUGUACUCAGCAACGGUGAGGCUGCACCUUGAGUACUGUGUUCACUUUUGGGCUCCUCACUGCAAGAAAGAUAUUGAGGCACUGAAGCUUGUUCAGAGGAGAGCAACGAAGCUGUCAGGGGUCUGGAGAACAGGCCUUAUCAGGAUCGGCUGAGGGAACUGGGAUUAUUCAGUCUGGAGUAGAGGAGGCUCAGGUGUGACCUUAUCAUUCUCUACAACUGCAAGAAAUGAGGUUGUGAUCAGAUGAGGGUUGGCCUCUACUCCCAGUAUAGGAUUAGAAGAAAUGGCCUCAAGUUGUGCCAGGGGAGAGUCAAGUUGGAUGUCAGGAAAAACUUCUCCAAAGAGCAGUCAGGCACUGGAAUGGGCUGCCCAGGGGGGUGGUAGAGUCACUGAUGCUGGAGGUGUUCAAGGAACGUGCAGAUGUUGGACUAAGGGACAUGGUUUACUGGGGAAAUAUUAGUGGUAGGUGGAUGGCUGGACUGGAUGAACGUAGAGGUCUUUUCCAACCUUGGUCUUACUAAGAUUCUAUGAUUACUUCUAGUGAUUUAUUUGAAAGUUUACUACUGAAGAAAAGGGCAGGAAAUCUCUUCAAAUUAAAUAUCUUCCACAGGAUACUGGGAAUGUGUAUGCAACUUUUUUUAUUAUUAUCAUCUAUGGCUGUAAGAACUAAAAGUUAUUGGUUUUGAUCUUAAAGCCAGCAACUUUCAGAAGACUUAAGAAUUUAAAGCUAUUAAGUUAUUAGAAAACUGGCAUCUUAGAACUCUUGAUAGACCAGAUAAUGAAUAAAUAAGUAAUUCUGCAAUUUUUUAGUUGAAGCAACACAUUGCAUAGAUACAAAGGAAAUGUUUAUGUUUUAAUGACUAUCAAGUAAUUAUCAGACUAUAAGUAAGACUCUUGAUUCUUCAUAAAUCUUGAUUGCUCAGUAUGUUUUGUAUUUCUCCCAGAGUGACAAAAAAAACCAAAACAUGUUAAUGUUUUAAAUGUUUUGCAAAGUCUAAGCUCCAAUUCAUCAGAAAUCUGAACUGGCUUUUGUGACAUCGCUAUACCAGGCUGCCUGGCAGCCAUCAUCCCAUGUCUGGGCCAUAGAUUUUAACAACACUGUUAGCAGUCUCCUGGUCAUGAGUAGGGAAAUAGCUUUUCUAUCAUUAGUCUCAAUGUAGGGGAUAGAGCCUUACUACACUACGUUUUAUUUUUGAAGAACAAAAUCACAACAUUUCAGGUGAGCUUGAAAGGGGCUUCUGGAGAUCUUGCCCCCAAACCCACUGCUCUAGGGGUCACCAAGAUCAGGCUGCUCAAGGUUGUAUCCAACUAAGGAUGGAAGCUGCAAAACCUCUCUGGACAAUCUGCUCUUAUGUUUGACCACUCCCACAAUGAAUUUUAAUUAUGUUUACAUGGAAUUUCCUCGAAUUUAAUUUUUGCCCAUUGCAUAUUUACCUAUCUCUAGAUACCACUGUGACAAGUCUGGCUACAUAUUGUUAACAUCAGUACCUCCAAUCAGGUAUCUGUACAUGUGAAGAAGAUCUCCUUGAGCCUUCUAUUUUGCGGGCUGAACAAUCUCAUCCCUUCUGAGCCUUUUCAUGCUCAAAAAUCUUCAUCAUCAUUGUGACUCUUCAGUGGACUUACUCCAGUACAUGCAUUCCCUCUUACACAGAGGAGCCCAGUGCUGGACCCUUCACUUCAUUUGUGGCUUCCUGAGUGUGGAGGAAAGAAGAAGAUCACACCCUUGACCUGCGGGUGAUACAAUGUGAUUCUUGGUGCAGCCCAGAAAAGGCUGUUGACCUCUUCUGCUAGGAUUCAUUGGUGGCCUAUGGUCCCUGGGGACCAUAACCACUCAGGCCUUCUCUGCAAAGCUGCUUCCGAGCUAGUCAGCACACAGCUUGCUCCAGUGUACAUGAGAAGGAAAAUUCUGAGGUGCAAAAUUUGGUAUUUCCAUUUCUUGAACUUCUUUUGGAGUAUAGGAAAGGUGACAGCUGUUAGUACAAUUUACAUGUUAGUGACUUAAAAGUAAAGUUCAAAGUUAGAUGAGAUAAAGAGAAAACAGAACAGAAACCUCAAACUAUAAACUGAUUUUAUAUUUUGCUUUUCAUUUUCUCAAGAUCUCAAAUAUUUUUUCAAUAUUGCAAAUUUUCAAUUAGAAAUAAAUGUUAAGAGAAACACAGUUCUGUAAGCAAUGUAAUGAUUAGAUGGUCACAUUAAUAAUUGUUUGGUGUGGAGAAAAUUGGAAAUAAACUUUAAAGAUAAUCAUAAAAUAGAUUUCUGGGCAAAUAGAAUAGAAAAUAGAUAAACAAUAAUCUUCCUUCUAUAUAUUCUCAAGUGUUACUAACUCAAGUAUUUGAAAACAUCUUUUGUUUUGGAAAAAAAAAAAGAAAAAAGAAAAAACCCACAAAGCAAAUAAACUGCUGUAGCAUCGUGAAACUAGUUUGAGCAAGUAAUAGGCAAUAUGUGGCAUUUUUACUCAGGAAUCUCACAUGACUCAUUAUGAAACAAUAUUAGCAUCUGAUGAUGACAAUGUUGGUCGCAAAACUAAUUCUUUUUCCUAUUUUUUCUUGUUUCUUUAAAAGAAAAAUCAAUUCCUAUUUUGGGUGAAUAUUUCUACUAGAAAUGCAUAGAAGUUUAUAAAAUUUAAUCUGCAGUGACAAAUAUCACUCUUAUUUAUCGAGCAUUACCUUGCUGGAGUAGUACAGCUCAUUGAUUCCUGUACUAAGGCUGGACACAGUUGGAUUCCAGACUAACUGUGUCAAUUUCAUGACACCAUGAAGCUGUGGUCUCUCUGCCUCUUUAGAUCCCGCUGAUUUUUUUAAUUUCUCUGCAUGGUCAGAAUCAAAACUCAUCACAGACAUGUAAAAGGUACCAAGAAGUACUGAAGAUUGCUAAAAAACUCAAAACUUCCUGUCUGUCUGCAAAGCUUAGGAAAAGGGCAAAAGCUGAUUAGCAUUUACAAGCCUAUUAAAAUGACAGGUUCCAGGUUCUGAAAAACAAAAGAAGUAGAGGUAUGCACAGUAAUUUUAAUAAUUUCUUUCAAUCAAAUCUAUACCAUUUAAAAAUUGGCUUGAAAUUAUUCUGUGCAGUUUUCAUUACACACAGGAAUUUUAUAAGGAGAAAAUAGGUUAUGGAAAGAAGUAGGUCUUCCUUAUCGGCCAUAAAUAGGUUGCAUAGUGAAAUGUGCCCAGAGCUAAACAUGUCCCACGUGGUUGUAAGUAGAAGCUUAUAUUGCUACUUUGAAGUUGAUUGUGUGAGUAUCUAAAACACCUCUGGACCUGCCUUGUGCUUAUGAGUUUAAGUCAGAUACUCCCACAUAACUGCAAAAAAAGAUGAACCUUCAAUGUAUCAUGUAAAAUUUUAAAUGGCAGGUAUGAGACAUAAAAGGCUGGACCUACAGUAUAUCUAAAAGUCCAUAAUACAUCUUCAAAACUUUAAGCUCAAUUAAAAACCUCAGAAAAAAAGUGAUCUGACAGUGCAGAAGAGUGAAACCAGAGCCGCAAAUAUUUACAAGUAAUGAAUGAAAUGAAGAACUUUGGUAUUAAAUAUGUGAUGCUUUCUGUUCCAUAUAUAAUUUAGUGCGGUUACAAGGCUGAAAACUUAUUCAUAUUUUAAUUUUUAGACAGGAGAGAGCAUUUUCAUGUUCUGUUUUAGAACUGUUUUGGCAUGAGCACAGCUUGUACUGAAGUCUUGCAUAUAAUGAAUUAUUUCAGCACUGAGUAGCUAGUUAUGUAGACAUACAAUAAAGAUUGCUAAACCAAAUAAGAUAUUGAGAAUAAAGAUAAUAAGAAUUUUUUUUUUUAAUUAAAGGUAAUAUGAAAAUAGGCAAUGAACUUCUCAGUCUUGAUUACAUUUGGAACCUAUAUAUUCUCUUACAAUGUAAUAUCUAAGACAGAAGUGAAAACAUUUGUUUUGGAUAGAUAAAUAAAUAAUCUUGUCCAAGUCAUACGAACACUGCUAUCAUGAAGGAAUAAAAGGUUAAUGCAUUUGUGAAAUGCAAUUACAACAGUUUUGUAAGAAUAUAUAUAAAAAAAGUAGAAUUAAAUUGUAGUGACAUAGUGUAAUAUAGUGUAAUUUAUACAGUUGUCUUUUUUUUUUCCCUUUCUUUCUUUCUUUCUUUCUUUCUCCCCCAGUUUAUGCAAACUUUAUAGGGGAAUUAAUGCUUAACUUUACUUAUUCCCACUGAACUAGUUGGAAGAACUUAUCAACAUGUAUUCUCUGAAUGGGCAUUCCAGUAUUCACUAUGAUCAAAUCAGUCACCAGUUAAUAGAGUCUCUUUGAUAUGUUAAAUGGGCAAUGUGUGCCUGGAAUCUUUCACUAUGAAUGAUGUUUUCCAAACCUCAAUCAUUCUUGUGGUUAUUCCAAGAAUUAAUCUUCAUUCUUCAGCAUUGAUCUUAAAUUAUGUGCCCCAGAACUGUUCACAGUAUUCUCAGAGCACUCCAUGCAAAGAUUAACUUGCAAAUAAUAUGUGUGUAAUUGUGAUUCCUAUUUAUGUAUUGGAGAAUCACACUGACUGUUUGUCCACAACAAUCAAUUGUGAGCUAUUUAACUAAUGAUAUCUUCUACUAUAAAUUUUGUUUAACUUCAAGUAAUUAAGACAACAUGUAUGGGAACUGUUGAAUCAUGGCCUGAACCUCUGAUUGACCACUUGAGGCGAGCUCUGACUCAGCUGCAGGGGCACAGGUGAAUGCAAUUUCACCUGAGUGACCGGAAGGGGUGGAGCCUGACUGCCCCCCUCCUAGACCCCAUUUAAGGGCUGACUCCCAAGGAGAAAGGUUCUCUAGCUGGAGAUCACUCCUCUUGGGGCUCUUCUGUAAGCCUGGGACACAGGUAAGAUUGUUAUUUCAUUUCUCCUUUGUAAUGCAAUAAUCUUUCUGGUCCAAAACCUGUUUGCUAUACAACAAGGAUUACAUCAAAGGAGAAUAAGGAUAUUCAUGCAGCUGAGCUGACCUCAUUGAGGUACUGAGAUUUCAAUAGACACAAGGAACUAUGGAAGCAUGCUGUCAGUGGCACUGAAUAUCAGAACUGUGCCUUAAAAAUAUCUGCUGUACAUUUAUUUGAACUUUACAGAAGUUUCAAGUAAGAAAAUAAAACUUUUGCACAAAUUUGUCACAUUUCAGAUGUUGAUAUAAAUCAUAAUCAUUUGCACUUGAGAGAAGCAUCAUCCUUAAGGCAACAAAUUCAGCGGCACCUUUAUAUUGCAUGCAAGACUGAGCAAGUCCUUAUUGGAAUCUGAUACUCCUUGGAGAAAGAUGCCAGGUUUGUCAAGACAGAAUUUUGUUGAACAGGAAAUGCAGAACAGAUCUGAUAGUAAUGUCAAAGGAAAAUUUACAGUUGCUUCUAUUGCUUUUAGUAGAGUAAAUAUCCACUUUCCAUUGCAACAAGAUGUUUUAAUGAGAUGAGACAGCAUUAUAUCUCUAUUAACUAAGUGCAGUAAUUACAGUAAGAUUUAUAGCUACUCUUAAAGAAAAAAAAUGUAAAAGAAGAAUGCUAUUUUGUGAAUACGAAGAUUUUAUAAAUGAAUCUGAUUAGGGGUUGCAUGGAUAGAGGUAUGUGUUAGAGGUACUUAGUCAUCUGUAUGUAGGUCUGAAACAGAUAACAAAAAGAUUGUUACAAUAAAUAUGCCAGAAAUCUACCUGGAUUUAUACAGAUACACACAAAGCAUUGGUUAAUCAUACUGUUAAUCAUAGAAUGGCCUGGGUUGAAAAGGACCAGAAUGAUUAUCUAGUUUCAACCCUAAUGCUAUGUGCAGGAUUGCCAACAACUAGACCAGGCUGCCCAGAGCCACAUCCAGCCUGGCCUUGUUUCCACUGAAAGGAGUGCCAAAUUUCCUCAGAGUUUAUUGGGAUGAGGAUUACAACCAAUAUGUCACCUAUUAGAAAUAUGUUAAUUGGAAGGAAGUUUAAGUCUACUUGCAGCCUGGCAUAGUCAAAGUGUGUAUCAAGAAAAACACAAACAUGUUUGUUGAACAUAUACACAUAUAUUAAUUAUUAAUCUCAAUUCCUGCUCAUCAGAAAAAAAAAAGCAUGUAAAGUAAAGAAUUAUAUAAAUAAUGAAUGAUUUGAAGAACACACGCAUACCAGAAAUCACAAGGGGACAUUUAGAUGUGUAAUGUGUAAAACAGUUAGAACAUUCUUUGGCACUCUGAGACCACUGGAAAAAUAUGAAGUCUCAUUAGCAAGUCCAGUUUCCCCUAUCAUCCUUUCCUUAACUUUCUUUUAGGUGACAUGGACACUCCUGAUAGGAGUUUGGUAGCACAUGAGUAUUUUUCCCUAUUCUCUCAAAUUAUUUACUUUCUGGCUUCUGGGCAAUUCUAUACAGCAGUUGUUUGAGCUCUUGGUUUCAGUUUUCUGUGACCAGUCUUUUCUAAGCUUCUUAUGCUUACCCUAAGUUAAAUUGAUAUUCUGAGGGAAUUGCUUUUUUUCCUAGUUUGUCUGCUUAAAGAAUUUUAUUUUUUGAGGUGGAUUUCAUGCUUGGGAAGUUCUUGUUUAUUUGCUUAGGUGUUUGUUAUGAUGGGCUAGUAUUCAGAAUUCUGUCUCUCACAGAGAUCCUCCAGAAUCCUCCAGUGUUGGAGCUCCUAAGCACAGACAAGGUCCUAGCAGGUAUUUGUGUUCUAGAUGAGAAAGCUGAACUCAGGGCAUUUUGUAGGUUUGCUUCAUUGGCAAGAGAUCAAAGCUGAUCCUUAUGUGUCCUCAUCACCUAUAGCUCUCGGUUAUGGACAUGACUGAAUUCCACUGAAAAGUAUUAUGUCACCUCAUCACCCUAUUGUGUUGUAUCCUCAUGGAGUCUAUAUUUUCAAUGAUUUCAAACCUUUUCAGCUACAUAAUUCGACUAUCAGUUCUGAUAACAAACUGUCAUUUGAAAGGCUACCUCUAAGCUGCUUGCAAUGCAAAAGCAAGGUAGUAGGAUCAUUACAGAAUGGCAAUACUGCCAGUUGUUUCUCAGUUUUAAGACAAUGCAUUAAUGUCAAACAUACGACUAUCUCAAUAAAUUGAAAGGGUGGCGUAUACCUCCCUGCUUGAAAGGCUGGGGACCAGUCCUGAUGAUGACAUUUGUCUUUCACUUGAGUUUAUGGUUAACUUGCUAAAGUUUUAGCACCCUGGUAUGAGAUAAUCUUACAGACACUCAUCUAAAUCAGCUCUACUUUUUAUUAUUGUAACUACAGGCAAGCUGUUUGAAAACAAAGAAUUGUUUUCAAGAACCAAAGUAGGACAAUUACAAAUUUAGGAUAUAUCCAGCACUAACAAUCCAGUCUUGCUUGCUAUUCUUCCUCAGGCAGACUCUAUUGAAAGGAAACAAUUCAGUAACAACUAUUUUCUGAACAGUAGUGGUAAUCAGCUCAAGGCCAUCCAGAGAAUAUUGUCAGAAAUAUUAUCUGUUGUACAUUAAUGUGUGACUCCAUUGUGGAUGUCAUACUAUGAGAAGAUCUUUAACAGAAAUGACAUUGACACAAUGCAGUGCUUUGCCUCUGGUCAUAUGGCAUCGCUCCACUUGACUUCAUGCAGAGUAUAGCUGCUCAUAUACAGUUGUCAUGCAAUAACAGAGUGAAGUAGUGACGGUUAUUUUCUGGCAAAAUUAGGCAGUUCAUGCUUUGCAAUGGCUUGAAGUUACAGAUCUGAGAAGAUGGCAAUUUUUUUGCCUGUUUUAUGGUGCAUGUAAUUAAAGAUUUCUCUGGAUAAAUGGCUUUUCCAAACAAAUGUGAAUUUUCCAACUUUUUAAAUAAAUGAAAGUGAGCCAUGUUUUUUGGCAUGGGCAACACCUGCUCAGAGAUGCCAAUUCUUUCUCUUUUUCUGCCUUUAAAAAAUGAACUAUUCUAAAUUGAAUAGCCAUUUAAAUGUAGCAUUAAUUAAUAUUUCAUUGCUUUACACUAGAGAACAGAUCCGGAAAAGGGUUUUUUGUUCACUGACAUCUGUUUAAACAAAGCUAAGUGGAACCUUCUGACACUAUCAAUGAAAGAAUCUGAAAGGAAAGCUGCUCUGCACAAUAGCCUCCUUUGUGUAUUUCUGUGACUGUUCUGUCCCAGUCUGUUUCAAAGUAAUAUACCUUGUGCUGAUUAUUUUUUAUCUUUAUAAAUAUACUGUAGGUAUAGCGUUCAUUGCUUUUAGUGCCCACUAAAUCUAUUUGCCUGUGUUUACAUGGCUGCUGAAAUCUUGGUGGACUAAGCUGAUCUUUCCUCAUUGAACUGUUAGUUUACCCACUGAGUAGAUCAGUCUUACACUUCAUUAAUUCAGCUGCAUGGAGUCAUCCUUUAUUUCCAUGAAAAUCUAGUUACCACUACCAGUUACUGCCCCUCACCUCAACCACAAAAAUACCUGUGCUUUCCAGGUGAGAAGGAGAAACUCGUAAUUUUGUCCUGCACACUUUUACUUGGAAAAAAAAUAUUGACCAAUAUGGAAUAGAAAUCUUAUGAACACUGUGUAAUAUUCCACAUAAGAAUGUACCUGAGAAUGUUUUGCCUCAAGUAGUCUAUUCCUGUCAGGAGUGCUUCUACUUUUCCUUAUACUGUAGCUUAGGCCUAAUCACUCAGAUACUGCAACAUUCGUCUGUGGUGGCUGGUGCUUCCAUGAAGGCAGUCAAGAUUGAGGGCCCAAUCUUACUGAAGACUAAAUCACUGCUCAUAAUGCUAUUUCAUCUAUCUAUAAACAUACACACACUGCAUUAUGCAUACUUUUUUGGUUUGUUUUCACAUUCAGAAGUCUUAAAAACCAUGGGUUGCAACCAUAGUUGCUCUGAAAGUAAUGCCUCCUAUUUAUUUUCACGGAAACUACAGCAGAUACAAAGAGCAUAAAAACACUAGUUGAUAGAAUAAAUUCUCAGCUACAAAACACUAUUUUUCAACACAGUCACCACCAUUAGCUAUGCAUUUUCACCAGUGAUGAACAAGAGCCUGCAUGCUGUGCUUGUAAAAAUCUGCACCAGUGGAGAUAAUCCACUGUUUCACAGCUGCUAUGACAGUGUCAUUGCUAGGGAAAACACAGCCUAUGCUGUUUGUCUUACUGUCCACUGUCCUGAUCAGGUGGAAGUCAGAAGGCACCAAGUCUGGGCUAUAUGGUGGGUGUGGUAGGAAAGUUCAGCCAAGAUUAGCAAUGUGCUCCAUGGGGCCUGGUUGUAAGAGAAAGGUUUUCCUCUCUGAUCUGAUUGCAAGUUCAAACCUUCAGCUUAGCCAGCAUCAUAAUGUAGUGGUCGGAGUGGAUGGCUUGUCCAUGUUCCAGGAAAUCAAGAAGACUUGCUCCUUUCCUAUCCCAAAAGGAAGUUUACAUCAUUUUUAACCACUGAGGGCUGUGUCUUGUGAAUUCCCCAUUGAAUAGAAAGUACAUCACCAGUCCGUGGACUGCUGUUUUGACUCCAGCUCUAGUGGUGACACCACAUCUCAACACCAGUAAUGCUGCGAUCCAGGAAAUGGUCACCUUCAGCCUUGUUUGUUCAGUAGAUCCUGAAAAACUAGUAUAUAAUGUUAUUUCUGUUCCUGUGUGAGCAUUUGUGGGACCCGACUGGUGCAAAUUUUGUGAUAGUCCAACAUUAUGCCACCAUUUUCAACUCUUUGAAGCUGAUAUUCAGCUCCAUGCUCAGUUCCCUGGUUGUAAUCCAUGCAUUCAUAUGGAUUUGCUGAUCAAGAAGCUCUUCAUUUCAUGAUGUGACAGCUGUGCAUGGCCAUCCGGACCAUGGCUUGUCUUUCACACUGCCAUUGCCACUACUGAAACAAACCACUCACUCCUCACUGUGCUCAUAUCCACUGUUUGGUCUUCACAAAUGUUUAGCAAGCACUGAUGAAUGUCAAACGGUGCAAUUUUUUCCUCAUGGAGGAAUUCAGUGACACAUCUUAGCUUCAGAUGCACUUCCAUGUUAGAUGCCAUUCUGUCAGCCUGCUGCUCUGAUGCCAUCUGUCACAUGGCAACAAAAAGUAAUGGGAUAGUGGAUGUAAGGUUCAGCAUCUAAUGCCAUACCACCAAAAUCUACCUCUGAUAUAAAGUAGGAACAGCCCUUGUCUGUUAAGAAAUCAAGCAUCUUGUGCCAGUCUUACUCAUCCUAAUUAGAAUAAAUGCAAUAUAAAUUAUCAAAAGCUAUUUGGAAAGAAAUAAUUCCUGUAGCAUUUGAAUGUUUCACUGUAUACGAUGGCAGCAGAAGAAAGUGUGCAAACAAAUAUUUGCAUCACUAGAAAGAAACAAAAAAGGAAGCUAAUCAGAAAAUCAGUUUGUUAAUAAGUACUUUUACUUAUCAGUUGAUUUAAACAAAAAAACUGAGUAAAAUAAGUUUAAUUAUGCUUUGUACAAUACAUUGUUGUAGGAAGUUUGUAAUCACAGUUUUACGGAACAAUUUUGUGUUGCCAACAAAUUUUUCAAAUGCCAUGUUUCACUGAAGCUGUGUAUUUUCAGCUAACUGAAACACAUGUGACAAUGCAAGACAGUAAGUAUGCAUCUUGCAAAACAGUGGAGAGUAAUCCCUCAGGUUAUUGGCCAUGAACUGCUUACAGAGCUGAAAUACUACACUUCCCAGAACUAAUUGUGAAUAGUUUUGUAAAUUUGAGUAUUUAAAUAUUUUCAAAAUGUUUUAAUAGUGCUUUUUGUGCAUGACUUUUUUUGUUAUGUUUUACUUUCCUUACUAAGUUGGUGAAUUUAUUUUACAAAUUCUUAGAAGAGAUUAAAUAUUUGAGUAUUCUUAAUUUAAUUAGAUAUUCAGUUUAUGAGCAAAGAUGAUCACUAGUCAAUUAAUAUAAAUACAAAUCACAAAAUAAAAUACUAACAAAACAGCAAGACAGUGAAGUUCCAGCUGUUAAGUCCUUUCAUAAACCAGUUCAUAAAAGAUUAAAAUCCCUGAACACUGCUGUUUAGCUGUGAAACUCAAUGCAGAAUACCCUUAAUGAGAAAAAUGCAAAUAAUAUUGAUACAGUUUUUUAAUAAUAUAGAUGUGUAUAAGACAUGUUGUCAGUUCAUAUUUUCACCAGCUGGAGAUGUAAAAAUAGUUAGACCAGAUUUUCUAUUUACCCUGCACCUGUGGCACUUACUACUUUGAAUGUACAGUGAAUGUUAUAUGUAUUUUCACCUCCACAGCCUGGACAGAAACAUUAUCCUCACCCUGUGUAAGACAAAAGCUGAGGCAUUCAUGCAUUUUUCAGAUUGCUCACGUUCAAAGUUUACAGUGCUGCUGCUUUUGUACUUUGGUCAUAUAGCACAAUAUUUCUCUCGUGAUUCCUAUAACUCUGUGAUUCUGUGUGAUUCUGAAUUGAAGCAUUAGUAAAAGUGCCUCUGUUGCUAAACCAUGCCUUUCCUGCCAUUUUUUUCACAUUUACCCAUUCUCCACUUUUGCAAACAUAGAAAAAGUAUGAAUUUUAUUAGUCUUGACAAAAUUCUGUUACUGCAAGAGAAAGUCACAAUCCUUGCCAAGAGGCAUGGAUAUUGGCAAAACAAUCAAACUGUGAAAAUUCACUUAUAGGCCUGCUAAGAACUUAGAGGAAAAUGGUCAUUUAAAUUCUGCCCUGGAACACUUGCCCUGUAGACAUCAUAUAAGAUGUUCAUCAUAUUCAUGAAAUAAGAAAAUUUGCUUAGUAGCCUUUCACUUCACCUAAGCUGUAGUUUUUCCUCAUUUAAAACUGAAUAUGAACAUAGUCCACGUCUCAGGGAUGAUACUGAUUGUUGGAUAUAUUUAAAGAAUGAAUCUUCAUUUUUCUUAUCACUGUAAAUGUACCAAUCAUUUCCCUUCUUUUGAGAGAAGCUGAAUGUGAGAGAUCUAUGAAGUCAAAUACUUGUGUUUAGCAGAGAAUCUAUGGAAAAAGUAUCAGUUAUAAAGUAAUCGGGAGUUGUUUCAAAUCUCAUUCAUGAAAAUGAAAGUCUAUAUUGUAUUGAACAAUAGUAAUUAUACAUUGAAUCAAACAUUUUAGAAUUCUACAGCUUUGUUUUAAGCAAAUUGACUGAUUUUUAAAAUUUUAUUUUUUUUAUUUUUAGUUGAGUAAAAUGUUGGCCAAGCCCAUAACUCAUGAAUGAUAUUUGUUUUAAUCUUUUCAUCUGCAUACUUCUGCUCAUUGGGGUAUGAAAAGUUAAGGUAAUGUAAGGGCUGUAUGGACAACAGUACUGAGGGGAUUUCCUGCAGUUUUGUCUGAACAAACUUGCAAAAGACAUAGACAAAUGGAAAGACAGACAUACUUACUAGAACUCCUCAGCAUAGAUAUUUGUUGUGAUCUUUUUCAAAUAUAUUUGUUGAAAUAGUCAAUCAAAUCCAGGCUAUCUGGUAAGGAUUCAGGAUUCUGGAACAUUUGCUUGUCAUCAGAUCCUGAUACAGAACCUCCUAGACCCCAGUUCUGUACCAACAUAGAACUGGGAUGUGUGUCUUUAUCCUCUGUCCUGUUUUCUAUCAAGGAAGAUACAAACAAGUAUCCCAUUCAUGUGCAUUUUUUUUGCAUGGAGAAAAACUUUAUGAUCAAUGGGUCCAAAACAUCUUCCUAAGAAAUACGAAGAGAGAGUUCUAAGUGCAAAAGCCUUCUACUACUCUGAGCAUCUGAGCUCAUUACACACCAUCACAUUGGCCUCAGGUUCUUUUGUGCUUACACCAAGACAUUUUGCAUGGUUAGAAAUACCUCAGGAAAUGGGUAUUUAUUUCCUGACUUAACUCCACUAAAAUGCAAGCCUCACCUAAGUCUCCAGAAAGAUUCUGAAACAGCAGAUAUACUCAUACAACUAAUUACAUCAAAUUAUAUUGCCUUGAUUCAUCUGUAUGGCAACAACAUCAGUGUCCAUUUACAUAAAAUUUAGGGAUACAAUGUGCAUGGACUUAGAGAAGGUCACAAGGAACAGGGUUAUUCCAGAGUUGUGAGGCUGGAAUAGUUUCUACUCCUCAGCUCAUGUUGCUAUCAAGGCAAUUCCACUUCCUGAAUUGGUGGUCACAACACUUUGAGUAUUACACAGACCAUGCACAUAACUCUCAACAGUGGUAUUUUUUUUUAAAUAAUAAGAUCCAUGAUGUUAGCUCUGCUUCAUUUUUAAUACCCUAGGUCCUAGGUGAACACACAUAGACCUUUUCAGUGGUUGCCUCCUGGCACUGCCUUACUCAGCAUCUAGGUACACUGAAUUGCUCUGCACACUUGACUGAUUUUUCCAUCGAGUCAAGAGAAUUAAGUAAAUAACUCAAGAGGUCUGGAUGAUUGUUUGUAGAAAAAGAUGCCUUUCUCUUUCCAAGGAUCUUGCCAUAGUCAGGCAACCAGUUUUAGGCACUGUGACACCUGACUUUUGUGUAGAUAUCCUGCCUUGAAGGGAAAUGAAUUCAGCUUCAGAGAAGGCAGGUAACUACUAACACAUCCACAAGUUUGGGCAUUCACCCGACUUAGAAUUCAGUUUCUGGAACAGAGAAUUCUAGUGCUAUUUUAUAAAGCCCAGGUCAUCUUGCCUGGUAGCCCUGUGCCCCUGGAAGGAUGAAUCUCCUUUGGGAUUAUGUUGUACAUUUCACUUGCAUACAAAAGCUCUUCUGAGGUCUUUCAAAUGGCACUACACAUCCAAACUGUGUGUGUCUUAGGUGAGUGGCUUCGUACUGUAGGUACUACUGACAUCACUAAUUGACUACAGCAGGACUUUAAACACAAGUUCACAACUGUAUUCAUACAGAAAUAGGUAUUAAUUUUAAACUAGUUGCUAUUCAAAGCCAAGACAUAGGGGACAGAGAGAGUUGCUCCAGUUUUCUGAAGACAGGUGUGUACAGCCAUGUGAGAUGCCCCAGGUUUUCCAAGUCUUCCACACAAGUCCAUCAGACAGAUGUCUGUGACCUGUGGGAGGCCCGUUGCUGUCUGGACCAGCAGACAGCCAGAUCAGAGCCCUAGGACAUCUUACACAGGACUACAUACCUCUGUUUAGAACUACAGGAUUUGGGAAUAACCAGAGCAGAAAACACAAUGACUGAAGUUUGCAACAAGGCUACUGUUAAGAAAUGUUUGGAAAGCAUGGAAGUUCAAACUGGAAAUGUAACUUUUAUAUAAACAAGUAAAUACUUGAUACAAAGACUGUUUUUUGAAUUUAACAUCCAGUUUGAACUUAUUUCUAAGUCUUGUGUUUCAGAGUCUUGUUUAUGUGCAAUAACUUACUCCACAAUAUAUAGGGUGAUGUUUUUAUUACCUAGAUUGUUAAAGAUAUUCAAUUUAAAAUGCUUUCAACUUUGUCAGUGCAAUAUAGAACAUUAUGCUUCUUUGUACAUGAUGAAAAAUGUCAAUUUUAAAAAUUAGAUAUUUGCUGUAUAGUUGUGAGUGGAAUAUUUUAAAUGUAAUUACAAAAGGGAUAUGUGUAUUCUUUCAUUGCCUUUGGAAAUUUUUAAUCCCUUGUUGAGAACAUUGAUCUUGAAACUCUUCUGGUAUAGUUGGAAGAUGAAGGUUCUGGAACACAUCAUUCAUAAUAUCAAUUUUUCUAUGGAUGAGAUAUUUAACCAGUAGUGUUACACUCAGGGUAUUCUGAUUAAUUUUGAAAAAAAAAAAAGUAUAUAUAUAUUUACACAAUAACAGUCCAACAGAAAAACAAAAAGGAAACAAACAAACCCACAAAAAAACUCUUCAUGAAUACUGAUCUGUUUAUUAGUGGGUCAAUUGAAUUAGCUAUAAAACACCUUACAUUUAUUUCUUAUUAGCUCACUUGAGGCCACCAUCACAGUUCUGUUAAAUUGUAUAUUCUUAAAGGCAUCCUUUAUUUCUGAAAACUUAAACCAGCGCAUAUUCAACAUUAUUUCUCAUACACAGAAGUGUAAUAAUUGCAGUAAUUUGUCUGCUUUUGUUUAUUAGCCAAAAUACCAAGCAAAACACAUGGAAAUAAAAUGAUGCAUCUGCUGUAAUAAAGCAUUCUCAAACAUAAGUAUUUUAAAAUACAAAAUGAGAUUCCUAUUAAUAUUGUUAAUGGUAAAUGAUGGCUGAAAAUUUGUGCAUGCUGAGCAUAGAUUGUUAUGAUUCUCUGACUAACACUCCCUUCUAUAGGAAGAAUUUUCAUAUUAUGUUAUCAUUUUUUGUUAUGUGAUUCUUAAAAGACCUGUGGUAUCCAUCUGCAGAAAAUCUUUUUCUUCUUUUAUGGAGCUUUCCUUGGCAAAUUAAUCUUGCAUGUGCUGACCUCACUAAAUUCGUCUGUUAUCAUGACUCCCCACAAAUCUCCCUGUAUGCCCCGGUUUCUCUAGAGUGUAAGCAUUAUGUUUUGGGACUUCCUAAAUGAACAGUCUGACAAGGAACAGUGCAACUUGAAAUGCCCUGCAAGGAUCUAACCUGCAACUCAAGAAAUAGUUCCACUGAUAUGAUGAGGUGUUAUUUUGGGCCUGAAAUGAGCCCCAGCAGCAGCAUCCUUGUUACCAAUAGAUGAAGAAGUGAAAUAAGUCUGAUUUUUCCAAAAUUUUGAUCGUAUUAGAAUAAAAAUAAAGCCUUUGUUAGGUUUUACUUCAGAGGAAUUGUUCUGCCUCACUCUGUUAGAAAUUGUAUGAUUCUAACUGCAGGAGAGCUGAUGACCACUUAGGAGUUAUCAGUGAACAUAUGUGCUAUAUUUGUUUUUAAAUCUUCAAUCCUUAAAAAUUUUGAAUUCUUAAAUCAUCAUUUAUCACUUUGCAUCAUCAAUAUUUUAUGUUGAAGGAAUGAUCUUAUUUGAAUUUGCUAUCUUUAGGUAUAUACUUUGUCUCCAGUGAAAUAUAUUUCCAAACUGGCUUUAUUCUACUAUCAAAGUUCAAAAUUAGAAGCAAUACCACUUGUACUUCGGUACUUGAUAACUUUAUUUUCCACAGUGACAUCACCUCUGAAACUGACAUUUCCUGACAUUAUUUAUAUUUUUGUUUGUAGUGAGAUUUCUGAUCUGACAGUAAUGAUAGCAUAUUAUUUUUCCCUCAGCAAGAACAAGAAAUUUGUGUUUUAUUGUAGCUGAUCAACCUUGGAAAAUAAACACAUACUCAUGCUGGAUUUUUGUUAUAUGUAAAGCAGUAUAAAUCAAUUUCUGUGCAGAUGUUGAUUUUUGCAUGGGAAGUUAUUUGCAUUUGGUUUUCAAAGCUAUUUUAUAAAAAUGACUCAAAAUAGAAAGAUUCAGAGAAGAAAUUUUCACACUGGAUAAAAACUUUAGCAACAUUGAAGUAGGUGGGAGUUCUGCUUCAGUGGGGCUAGAAGUAAAUCCACUGAGCAUCAGCACAUAAUGUAAUAAUGUAUUCCUCCCACACUUUUCCAUAAAGCUGACUAAAGAGCAAACAACAGUUCCCCAGGCGUUAGCCUGCAAAUCAAUAGUAUAUUUAGUAUCAAUAAUCAAUAUGUAAAGUAAAAUAGCAGCCUUAGUUUUGCAAAAACAUAGCUCAUCCAUGGGUUCUAUAUUAGCAAAUUGCUGGCUGCCUUGGAUGAAACUUUCCCACCACAUACUGCAGUAAUCGUUGGGUUAAGAACCAUAAGGUUUCACUGCUUCUUCUUUGGAAAGGUGAUAGCUACACUGAGCUAGAGAAGGAAGAAAUAUGCAAUAUUUCCAUUUAAUAAAAGAGCAUCUAUGGCCUAGAGAGGAAUUUGCUUGCUGAUUUUGCAGAACUUGUGAGUAAUUUUUGGCUAAUGUCUUCUUGUCCUGCAUAAAUGGUUCCACUUGGUCCAUUCUUCUGAGUCACUUUAUAUUCUUAUAUCAGAUUGAAACUGUGUUAUUUAGAAAAACUCUAUUAAUUACAACAAAACAAACAAACUCUCAAUUUGGGAACACUAUAACAAAGCCCUAGAAAAUUAUAAAUGGCAAAUAUUACUGUAAUUGAGAAAAGAGUGCUUUUCUCAAGCUUUUACUUUAGCUACAAAAUACAGAAUCUAUUACGCUUGUUAUUAAUGGGAUCUGAAAAUGGUUCUCCCUUUCCCCUACAUUCCCUGCAACUCAGAAAAGUUUUCUUCAGUUGUUGGAAAAAAAAAAUCUUACAUAUAAAUGCCAAAUUUUACAUUACAUUUACAGUUUUGUUUAAAGCCUUAACACUUCUUGCUCCAACAGACAUCAGGGGUUCUCAGCAGUUUUUAUUACUGACUCCACAGAUAUCAUCUUACAUGAAUAUUUCACUGAAAGCAGCAUGAUAUGCAUAAUCUCUGGGAACACUUUUCAGCCAAAAGAAGUGAAGGAAAAUAUUCCCAAGAAAGGAGUUUUUGACAGUGUUGAAUUCUUCCAUGUUUUUAGGUUGUAGUGGGAUAGAAUAUGGAACUGGGAAUUUUCUUGUUUGUUUUUCAAAAAACCUCUGUCAUUUUUCUGCAGUGCAGAAACACAAAUCUAAUUUCUACAAGGUUCAUUUUUCCAUAUAACUUUGUUUGUAAAGUCAGUGCUUCUGAAGGAAGUCACUUAAAUGCUACUCCACAUGAUCAAAGACAGAAAAUAAAGUAUGUUUUUCUGAAGAAUAUUGUUUUGGUUAUUGUUUACUGCACUCUUUCUAUUCAGGAAGAUAAAAGAAAACAUUUUUUAUUUUUAUGCUUUUUGGAUGCACAAAAAUGUUUAUGCUUUCAAGUGUGGAUUGCUGAGGAGACCAAAGUUUGAGCAAGCAGAGAAGGACUUGCUGAGGCUGAGAAAAAUGAUGAAUGUUUGGGAAACAUUUCAUUUUAUUUAUAAAGAAUGGCUAUAUGAGUGAUUUUGUCAAAACCUUUGAGCAUCUUAUCAACUAAAACACUCUGUAUCUCCAAAACUUAUGUGAAUUUUUUUUUUUCUAUUAGCUUUAAUGUGUUUCUGUACCUUUUUUGGGGAGCCCUGAAUGUCUGUGUUCUCUGUGCAUGGAUAUGUGCUUUUACCCAUUUUAACAUGAUGGUUACAGCUUUGAUUAGGAUGAGACACAGUCUGAUUUUCACAGUUUGUUUUGAAAUGCACAUCUUGUUUUUGUGUCAUCUUUGAAAUUCCCAUGCCCACUUAUCUCUAGAUGAAAAAAAAGCUGUUCAUUUAAGCAAUUAGGUAUGAUAUAUAGUGUAUUUGAGAAUGAUGAUUGCACAUUUUGUAAAAUCUUGAAAGUAAAAAGACUGAGGGUCGAUACAUUAACAUUCCAACAAAGAGCUGUGAAUGUUCUGGCUACUGCAAAGUGAUGGAAACAGUCUUCUCAAAUCUUGAACGAAAAUCUUUUUUUCUUGCAUGAACUGAGUUGAUAUGGGAAAAAGUUCUUCUAGUUUGGGUUCCUACAUCAUGAAUUUCUUUGUACUGAAACAGAACCAAGCUUGUUUUGUUGUUUUCUGAAUUCUAAGAGAUCUUUUAGCUUGGAGAAGAGAGGCUCCAGGGAGACCUCACUGUGGCCUUCCAAUACUUGAAGGGAGUGUAUAAACAGGAGAGGGAAAGACUGUUUACAUGGGUUGAUAAUGAUAGGACAAGGGAAAUGGUUUUAAACUGAGACAGAGAGGUUUAGGUUAGAUAUUAGGAGGAAGUUUUUCACACAGAGGGUGGUGACGCACUGGAACAGGUUGCCCAAGGAGGUUGUGGAUGCCCCAUCCCUGGAGGCAUUCAAGGCCGGGCUGGAUGUGGCUCUGGGCAGCCUGGUCUGGUGGUUGGUGACCCUGCACAUAGCAGGGGGGUUGAAACUAGAUGAUCAUUGUGGUCCUUUUCAACCAAGGCCUUUCUAUGAUUCUAUGAUAUGAUAUGAAAAACACCCAACAGGAUGUGUCUGAAAUGAGCUACAUUCCCAAGAACCAUCACCGAUAAGAAUUACAAUUUAUUGUGAAACAUGAGCUAUCUCCAGUGAAACACUCCAGGCUCAACAAAUUGCUCUUUCAUUAACAAAACUUUUUUUUGCUUCUUCUGACAUAUCUUUCGAAAUGCUAUAAAGAAGAUCUAAUCAUCACCCCUUUCUGAUACUUUUUAUUCUGUGGUCUUCUUUGUCCUGAAGACUGCAGCUCUGGACUUCACCUGGGCUAAUGCAUACCACCAGUAGAAAUGAAUAUAUUUUUAGCUAUUUAUUCAUUUACAUUUGUUUUUUUUUUAAAAAAAAGUGAAAUUGCACUAACACAAAUUUUAGACUAAAGGCUGUUACAUGGAUCAGGGAAGCCCAAUACUGAAUUCCUAUCAUCUGGACUGGAAAGACAAGGCUGAUUAUGGUUGCAAAGGUAUACAGCUAAGCACAGAGCUGAAAAUUGGAGUCUGAGCAGCUACUCAGUGUAGAAAAAUACCGAUGUCUGAGUUGGCCAAGUAUAAGAACUGAACACAAAAUCUUUAUAAUCAGAAAUGUCAGGGAAAUUUAAUGUCAUCUGGUGCUGUUAGCCCUGCCUAAACUGCCCAAAUCAGAUCAGGUGUAAAUAGCUGCAGCUGUCACUGACAUUAACAGGAGUUGCAUCCAUUUACAGGAUUGGAUUAGGUUCCUAAAGAUAAAGCAGCAUUUAUUUGCUCUUUUUUGUUCUCCUAGCUGAAAGAGCAAAAAGACAGCCUUCUAAAAUAAAUGUAAAGAUGAAAGCAAUGAUCUUCAGAGGUAAAUACGAUGAAAGAUGAAAAUGUUCUAUAGUAUGAAAAGACUGGCUGAGCCACACAAAUCAUGGGAAUUUAUAUCACAGUACACUCUCUGGUCUUAUAAAUUCAUGAAUAAUACAUAAAAGAAAAAUUACAAAAUUAAGAUCUACACUAGGAGAAUCGCAGCAUUUUAGUUGACCACUGACUCUUUGGUAUCUUAACACUACCAAGCCCAUCAAAGAAGCCUUUUAGAUUGUGUUUCCAUUUACCUCAGUGUCAUUAUUUAAUAUUUCACUUCUGAUACAGGUGAGUUUUCUUUAUAGUUAGCCAAAAUGUCACAAGCAUAUAAUGAAAACAGUGAAGAGCCUUGAAUUUUAGAGACUCCAUUAACUUUCCAUUUAUAUUUCUAAAUCCAGUGGUUAGAUAUGUCCAUGCUACUUCUUUCUGUAGUUUAACAACACAGAGCUGUAGCUGAGGGAGACAUGAGUAAUGACAUUUAUAUACUAAUACACUUAGGAUUUUCAUUCUGCAUACAAACAGUACAAACCAUAUGCAUAUCUCCCUGGUUUAUUACUGUUAAGAAUAAUAAGCAACUGAUGUGUGCUGUUGGUUGGUCAGUUGUUUUGUUUGUUUUAUGGCACGUCUCUUUCAGAGAGAUGCACCAAGAAAUCAGUUCCCCUUAACUCACUUUUGCUGGUACUGAUCAUGAGUAGGGACAUUCUCCACACUCUUCUAAACUGAAUGAGUUAGGCUCAGAUUCAUCCCACCUAAUGCUCAGAGUUUAACAAAUGUGUCCCAGUUAAGAGAAUAGCUGACUUACUCUCCUUCCAUAGUCAAUGAACAGAGACAGAGAAUGAUUUGUAAUGAAAAUUGUUCCUCUCUCUCCUUUGAAUAAUGUUAGAUGAUAAAAUGACUUUGCUCCUACUUAAAUAUAAAUAGAAUAAAUGAUGAAUGCUAAGGAUUCUGUAAUUAAUAGAGAGAUUACCAAUGGAUACAGGUGUAGGGCGAAGAGAAGAUGUGAGGAAUUAUCUUCCCCUCUGCUAAGGAAUCCUUCAUUUGGAAUUCUACAGAUAACACAUCAUCUGAAGGCAUCGUGCUGCACCCUUUACUAAGAUCAAGUUACCAUUACAAUGUAAGACUUUUUUUAAAAAAAAAAACCUGUCAGUUAUGUGGUCCACUUAUGCUUUAUCAUCUUCACUUUCCAAAUCAAUACUUGUUAACUGUUGUAAAUGACACUUGAUUUAUAUACUCACAGAGUCAUAGAUUUAUAGGAUGCUUGAGGUUGGAAAGAACCUCUGGAGGACAUCUGGUCCAACCCCACUGCACAAGCAAGGACACCUAGAGUUGGUUGCUCAGGAUCAUGUCAAGGCCGCUUCUGAAGAUCUUCAAGAAGGAAAACUACACAACCUUUCUGGGCAACCUGUGCCACUGCUCAUUCACACAGCAAAAUGCUUCCUGAUGUUCAGACACAACUUCUUGUGUUCCUAUUUCUGUCUGUUCCUUCUAGUCCUGGCAAUGAGACCACUAAAAAGAGUGACUCCACCUUCUUUAUACCCUCCUUUCAGGUACUGACAUUUUUAAGCCCCCUUUGACCCUUCUUCUCUAUAGACUUAACAGUCCCAACUCUCUCAGCCUUUCCUCAUAGGAGAUGCUCCAGUCCCUUUAUCAUUUUUGUGGUCCUCUACUGGAUGCUCCAGUCCCUUUAUCAUUUUUAUGGUUCUCUACUGGACUCCUUCCAAUAUGCCCACAUCUGUCUUGUAUUGGAGGUCUAGAACUGGAUACAGUACUCUGAAUUGAGGGGAAGGAUCGUCUCUCUUAACCUGCUGUCAAUAUGUAAUGCAGCCAAGAAUACCAUUAUCCUUCUUAGCAGCAAGGGCACAAUUGCUGACAUAUGUUCAACGUGGUGUUCACCAUGACCCCCAGGUCCUUUUCUGCCAAGUUACUUUUCAGCUGGAUGAACCCCAGCAUGUGCAGGUGCCAGAAGUUGUUCCUGUCCAGGUGCUGUUCUUGUUGAAUUUCAUGAGGUUCUUGUCAACCCGCCUCUUCAGCCUGUUGUGGUCACUCUGGAUGACAGCAUGGUCUGGUGAAUCAGCUAUUGAUGCCAGUUCAAUACCAACUGUGAAAUUCUGGAUUCCUUCUUCUCUUUUAAAACUUCUUCUUAUAGCUUCACUGGCAGAAGUAAUCAUUUUAAAGCUAAGAUAAUUCAUCCUUAGUUUAGAAAACAAUAAAAUACUGAGUAUAUGAAAAAAUAUAAAUGAUGAAAAUAUAAAUAAUGAAAAAAUGAGUGUAUAAGUGAAUAUCUAUAAAACGGAAUUCUAAUAUUGACUUAACAAUGAGAAUAUAUCUUCAAGUUUUAUUUCCAAACAUAUAUUUGCCUUUUCUGACAGUUAUUUCAUUCUUUCCUAACAUAUCUCACUUGUUAUCUGGUGUAAAAAUGUCUUCCUUCUCCCUACUGCUUUCCCCAAAUCUGAUAAGAAAUCUUUUCUACACCCAUAAAUCAAAAUUCUUGUUAAAAAUGAAGAUACUCUCCUACUUAAGGGAAAUGGGAAUUUAGCACUAUUGUUUUAUUUAUCGCUUGGAGGCUUAGAUCUCUGUCUUGCCAGCUCAGAUAUUAAAAUAGAUUCACAAGGGUGACAAAUGCUGUAAGGCACAUUAUUAAAGUAGCCAUACCAUUUUGUGGCCAAGAAAAAUUUCAGAGAAGCAUUCAUAGUAUAGAUUGAAAGGGACAAAAUUUUACCUAUAUUGUUACAUCUGUUAUGCAGUUCCCAGCUGAAACCAGACAGGAAGCCUUUUACUGUAAUCAUUACAAAUUGCUCGGCAUUAAAAAACAUGUUCUUUAAUGACAAUAUUGAUGAGCAAUGAGCCAUAACCCUCAAGAGGGAAGGUUCUGAUUAAGAAAUAAGGUGACAAACCGCAAUAGCACUAAUCAAAAUAUACCUUGGAUGCAGACUCAAGGUGCUGUCAAUGCAUAGAGCCCCUAAUGUACUUAAAGUGUGCAUUAAUCAACUCCUCAUGUGUUUGACUUAGAUUUCUACUUCGCAUUUUUAAAUCAAGGUUUCUAUAUUAAACCAAGAAAAUGUCUCCCUCAAGUUAUAAGUAGUCCCCAGGGAGACCCUUCUGCAAAUGUGGAACGUUUUGAAAGAACUGUUUGUUUGGAUACCUUAUGCUAUUAAGUAUUUGAAAUAACUAUUUUCUCCCUCUCCAUAGAAUCAUAGAACUGUUUGAGUUAGAAGGGACCUCUAAAGAUCAUCUAGUCCAAUUCCCCUGCAAUGAACAUGGACAUCUACAAGUAAAUUAGGUUGCUCAGAGCCUCAUUAAGCCAAACCUUGAAUGUCUCCAAGGAACUAUUUAUUCCAGUAUCAACUAUUUGUUCCAGUAUUUCACCACACUUACUAUAAAGCACUUUUUCCUUAUAUCCAAUCUAAAUAUCCCCUCAUUUCGUUUGAAACCAUUUCCCCUUGUCCUAUCACAGCAGAUUCUGCUAAAGAGUCCCCUUCUUUCUUGUAGCUCCCCUUUGGAUACUGAAAGGCCACCUCACAGCUUUCUCUUCUCCGGGCUGAACAGACCCAGCUCUCUCAGCCUGUCCUCACAGGAGAGGUGUUCCAUCCCUCAGAUCAUUUUUGUGGCCCUCCUCUGGAUGCACUGUAACAGGUGCACAUCUCUCCUGUACUGAGGUCUCCACAUCUGGACACAGUACUCCAGGUUAGGUAUCACAGUGCAGAGUAAAGGAACAGGAUCACCUCUCUCCACCUGCUGGCCACGCUUCUUUUCAUGUAGCCCUGGAUAUGGUUGGCUUUCUGGGCUGUGAGGGCCCAUUGCUUACUCAUGCCCAGCUCACCAUCGACCUGUACCCCCAGGGUCUUUUUGGUAGGUCUGUGGUAGGUCUGUGCUCUACUCUUCCAUCCCCCAGAUUGUACUGAUAGUAGGGGUUGCAACAACCCAGGUGCAAGACCUUCUAGUUGGAUUUGUUGAACUUCACAUGGUUCUUCUGGGCCCGCAGUUCAAGCCUGUUUAGGUCUCUCUGGAAGGCAUCCUGUCCCUCAGGUAUGUCGACUCUUCUUAUAUUUUAAGAUGUCUUUUUUAACUGUACUUGUCAAUUCAGAAUUUAUUUGCUUUGCCCAAUAACAUGUCAGAUUUAUGUUACACUAGCAAAAUUCAUCCAGGCCCUGCUUAUUUGCUGACUACAUAAAAGUAUUACUCAAGUUUGGGUAGUGUAACUGGCAACGGACUGUAACUUUCAAAAAUAUAUAAAAAAAACCAAAAAAAACCUGACCAUUAACCACCUCACUGAGACUACAGCAAAGGUCAUCCAAUGAAUUGAAAGUAUUCUGACAUACUUUUACCAACUAGACAUAUUUUUUUUUACAUGUCAUGUUUUAUGACUGCAUUUUUAGGUAUACCAGAUAUUUUUUGCUGUUCCAUAAAUCUGUCAGAGGUUUUUGCCAUGUUUUGUCAAAAUGUGAUUUUGACAGAUUAUAUAUUUUCCAUGGGAAAUAUACCUUCCAGAUUGCAAAGACAUUGUUUAAUAAUAAUUUAGAGAGAUGAGUGGGAAGGCACUCCCAACCUGCUUGAGUUACUGCUCAUUUCCUUUGAUCAUUUCCCUUUGAUCAUUUGCAAAUUUAGGCUCUGUUACUGCUAACACUCAUGGGCUUAAUUCUCUUUCAGAUAAACAUUUUUAGCAUUAAAGUCUUGAAGUUUUUUCUCUUUCCAUCAAAGGCAGAAGGCUCUGAUGUUCUUGGAUGAGAAGUGCUGGAUAAACAGAACAUAUAUAGAUCUUUUUCCCUAUGAAUUCCACCAGACAUUUCAUUUCCUCCACUUCUCUUCCUUCUCUUCAACAGUGCUAGGCAACAUGCCCAGGCUGCUUCCUACCACCAUCACAUCCUUCCCAUCACACAGUCCAAGUUUAUAAUUCUCUUGCAAUCUGACAUAAAUGUAUGUGUCCGUUCAUAUAAUCCAAAACGUGAGUCUCACAAGUCUGGAAUUAGGGAAUACAUGUAAGAGGAAGAUUCUGAGUGCAAGUUUGGCACUUUUGAUAAAUUAGCACCCACACAGGCACUUAGCCGUACACACAAAACUGUAGAGUUUUGAAUAAUAUAAAAGUUACACCUUGCAAAUUUAAAGUUAAAAAAAAAAAUAGGUGAAAUGUAUCACUUUUUUUCGCACUUUGCUAACUGAACAGACUUUAGAGAAAGAAACUUACCUGCCCACUAAGGAGAAGCAAACUAAAACCAGCUCCAGGAACAGCAUUUUCUUAUAACACUUCUGGCAGUUUUUUGAAGCUCUACAUUUUGUAGCAUAAAUAUGUUUUCUCUGCUGUGUUGGUGUUUGAAAGACGGCCACCAUAAGGAGAGUCUGACUGGAAUGCAUGUAGUGACUUCUCUUGUUCAAAGUGAUCUCUGCUGAAGGAUAUUGUGCCCAGGGAGUACUCACACAGACAAGAGACUUGUUUGCAGGCAUUACUUUUGCUAUUAGCAACAAAAGCUUGUUUUCUUCUUCUGCCUGACAUUGCUCUUGGUUUCAUUAUGGGGAAAAAAUGGUAAGUGGAUACAAGAGAAGUAUCACAAGAUUUAUACAGAGAAGGUCUGGUUUUAGAUGAUGGUAGAACUCUUCUGAAGAUUAUCACUAGGUAAAUAAACACAGUGGAUAUACAUCUGAAGUACUGGAAGGAAGAGAGUAUACAUGUGGGCCACCCUGUUUUGGAUCACAGAAUGAAACAGAAAAAGGUGUCCUUUUCCUUCCUCUUGCUACUCCCACACUGAGACCCAUACCAUGGGAUUUACUUGUAGGGAUUGCCCCUCAGAGGCUAGGGGGGGAGAGAGAGAGAGAGACUCAUCAGAGUUCAUAUAAGUUCUCAGUUCUGUCUCCAGGGAAUGGAUGGGAGCUAAGGGAUUUUCUGAGCUACAUAAAAAAAAAACUUAUCAGAGUUCUGUCAGUUUGCAACGUGUUACUCUAGAAAGCAAAGAAAUACAAAUAGUGAAGCAUUUUGCAUAUUUUGGCAGCAGCAUUCAAGCCAGUAGGGCUGUUCUGGAAGGAAAAAAAUAUCUAUUGGAAAGACGUAAUUACAUUCACAGCUUACAAAAUCAGGCUGUUGAAAAUCUGCUAUUUAAAGAUGAAAUUGUGGAAUACACAGCUCAGAUGUUAUUUUCACUUUAACAUGUGAACGUGAAGGAUGUAAAUCCAUCAAGGGUACAGACACCGGUCUCAUUUCUUCCAAAGUAAAUGCCUUUUGAAAACACUAGGUAUUACAUUGAAUACACUGAAUAUGUAACAAAUGGCAUCAAGACUGAUGUUCAUCAACUUUUAUAUCUAGACUUUUAUAUCUAGAGAUAUCCAAAGAGAAGAUGGGAAUACAUGGACACUGUAGUGAGAAAAAAGCUAGAGAUCUGCCAUGAUUAAAUGUGUCAUUGGACACCUGAAGAGACAUGCAGAUGGACCAGCUAAACGACUCCUGCCCAAUAUUAUUCAGAAAGGAGAAAACUUAUGAGACUGAAAAACACAGAAAAUAUAAUGAGUGGUUUCUGGCAGGUCUUAUUUGCACAGCAGGCAAUAUUUGACAACAUGGGAAAGAAUGAGCUUCAGUUGCUAGCCUAACUCUCAAUCAAUCCAUGUCAAUGAUCAGAACCAUUAAGUGCUAUGGAAGUUGACAACAUCCUUUUAAAUAAGAAGAGAAUGUAAAAACUUGAUAAGCAAUUUUAGGAUUCUGUUACAAAAUUUCAUCUCAU
rnacentral:lncRNA from 1 species